rnacentral:lncRNA from 1 species
AGGGCCGCGCCAGCCUGGGUGACCCCUCCUGGGCCUUUGCCAAGAAAACCCCCACGGGGGCACGGGAGUCGCCGAGCAAUGACAAAAGCAGAGCCCUGCCCUCAGCAGGGGCGCCCAGCUCGGUGACGUCCGGGAGGCAGCAGUCAGGAGGCUCUGCUGGAGGAGAGGUUUGGUCCCGUCGUGCAGCAGGAAGCCUCCGUGGAGGCCGCCACCCGAUCGGAGCCUCCACGAAGCUGCCCUGCACCUGGUGAGGGCCUCCACCAAGCCUCUGCUAAGCCAGCCGCCAUUGCCCACUGAAGCUGCCCAGUGGGGGCCUCCGGGAAGCCGCCCACCGCCCGCCGGGGGCCUCCGCCACACAGGCCGCAGAACUCGGGAGGCUGGAGGAAGGGCAGGACGCCCUGGGCCCGUGGGCGAGAGAGCAAGAAUCUGGGCUGGCAGGUCCUGGCCACAGGCAUCCCUCCGGAGGACCUGGACGGCUCUGGCGAUGACGACGACGGCUUCUCCGGCUCUGGGGCGGGGGCCCCCUCUAGGACCUCAGUGUUCGGCCUGAACCUCCUGCCCAGCAAGACUCCUGUGCUCACCAGCACCUUGACCAGCACUCCGGCCCAGCCCCCGCCCAGCACCCCCGGGGGAGUAGCCCCAGAAGCCUCCUCGGUGGACUCUGUGCUCCUGCCUGGAGGGCUGCCUGAGCCCCGGCCGGCCCCCAGCCAGGAGGAGACCCUCCCCGUGUCUCCGGCCGGGACGUUUCUCCCCACCACCCACUGGCCUUUGACAGCGGGAGCCCCCGGGGCCCUGGACCCCGCUCUGGGGCUCCCAAUGGCGCCUUCCCCCGAGUUUCCAGACUCUGGGGACGAAGGCCUCCUGGCCAGCGCCCCAGGGAGCGGGCAGCCCGAGGGAAGCUCCAGCCAGCACCCAGGGGAGGAGAGCUCGGGAAGUGGGAGUGAUGACUUCACCUUCGCCCCAUCCGG